rnacentral:lncRNA from 1 species
ACAGAAGCCGCAGGAGACGCAGGCACAGGGGCUGGGGAGAAUCCUUGCUGGGCCCUCGCCGUCCAUGCGCCGCCUCCCUCUGCCCGGUGUCUGGUGUCAGCCUCCUGCCUGGCAGAGGAACUCCAGCCCCUGCUCCCCGAAGCUCCUCCAGGCCUUCUGCUUCCCUGACUCGGAAUGGGCCCGCUGUCCAGUGGGUACAAGGCUGGUCUCCCCGCCCACUGGUGACGACGUAAAGAUCCAGCUCAGCCUGGUUUCCCCUGGUGAUGAUAUCUUGCGACUCGUCUUUCUCCAGGAAAACAGGGACCGCUCUCCGCCUACAGAUCUCUUCAACUACCUGUGAAAACUGAUGUGAUGAAAAGGGGAAUUUGAAGGAGCCAUUCCAGAAGACAGGGCGAAAACUGAAGUGCAAUCAGGGCCAAGAAAAACAGAAAUAGCAGGACCUGGAGUUGCAUAGGUUGAAUAGUUGAAUAGGCUGCUCUCCUCAGCUGGCAGGAAACCUGGCAGCCUCCUGGUGCCCAAGGACUGAAAACCUUAGAAGCACCUGGAGUUGGCAGCCUUGGCAUGGUCAGGUUGGCACCUCUGGAGGUGCCCAGGCUUCCCUGGCAGCAUUGUGAGCAGUGGAUGGUGUUGAAGGGCAGCCAGAGGAGGAAUGGAACACAUGCUCCUUGCUAACCACACGGACAAGGCCACGUUCACAGGUACACAAAGGACGGGGGUGGAAGGCCACCUUCGAUGGGUGCAUCCUCCACGAUGACCUGCUAACAAAGGUGCAUGGAUUUCAGAGUCUGAUUGGCCUACAACAGCAUUUGGCUUGUGGAGACAGUGGUUCCCUGAUGAAAAACUGCCAUGAUGGGAAUAGAAACAAUCAGAGGAAACUUCCGUGAGUUCCCAGGACACAUCCACCCACCUCCUCCACGUGUAACCACCACCUCUACCUUCCCCUCUGGUGCUGUGGAUGAGCCAUCCGUGCUCCUGGCAAAGGCCCACCUGCCACUUGGGCACAGGAACCCAUCCAUCCCUCCUUACCUCUGGUAACUCUCCCUCUCUCUCUCCUGCAUCCUUCAUAUUCUCUGGGUUGUAUUCUCUUCCAGCCCCCACCCCCUGCCCACCUCCAGCAUGUAAAAGUGCUGUUAUUGUUUCCACUUUAAAACAAACCCUAAAAAUAAGUAAAUAAAAUAAACCCUACCCUGACCCC